AGCUUAACACAUGCAAGUCGAACGGAUUUUUAUCAUUAGCUUGCUAUGAUAAAAAUUAGUGGCAGACGGGUGAGUAAUGCAUAGGAAUCUACCUAGUAGUAUGGGAUAGCCACUAGAAAUGGUGGGUAAUACUGUAUAAUCCCUGCGGGGGAAAGAUUUAUCGCUAUUAGAUGAGCCUAUGUUAGAUUAGCUAGUUGGUAGGGUAAAGGCCUACCAAGGCAGUGAUCUAUAGCUGGUCUGAGAGGAUGAUCAGCCACACUGGAACUGAGAUACGGUCCAGACUCCUACGGGAGGCAGCAGUGGGGAAUAUUGGACAAUGGGCGCAAGCCUGAUCCAGCUAUGCCGCGUGAGUGAGGAAGGCCUUAGGGUUGUAAAACUCUU
rnacentral:rRNA from 1 species